rnacentral:rRNA from 1 species
AUCCUGGCUAGGACGAACGCUGGCGGCAUGCCUAAUACAUGCAAGUCGAGCGAAUGACGAAGAAGCUUGCUUCUUCUGAUUUAGCGGCGGACGGGUGAGUAACACGUGGGCAACCUGCCCUGUAGAUUGGGAUAACUUCGGGAAACCGGGGCUAAUACCGAAUAAUCCAUUUCCUCUCAUGUGGAAGUGUUAAAAGACGGUUUCGGCUGUCACUACAGGAUGGGCCCGCGGCGCAUUAGCUAGUUGGUGAGGUAACGGCUCACCAAGGCGACGAUGCGUAGCCGACCUGAGAGGGUGAUCGGCCACACUGGGACUGAGACACGGCCCAGACUCCUACGGGAGGCAGCAGUAGGGAACCUUCCACAAUGGACGAAAGUCUGAUGGAGCAAUGCCGCGUGAGUGAAGAAGGUUCUCGGAUCGUAAAACUCUGUUGUGAGGGAAGAACAAGUACGACGAGUAACCCUGCUCGUACCUUGACGGUACCUCAUUAGAAAGCCACGGCUAACUACGUGCCAGCCGCCGC